GUGAGCCACCACGCCCGGCCUCUUUUUAUUUUAUUUUAUUUAUUUAUUUUGAAACGGAGUCUUGCUCUGUCACCAGGCUGGAGUGCAGUGGCAGGAUCUCGGCUCACUGCAACCUCUGCCUUCUGGGUUCAAGUGAUUCUCCUGCCUCAGCCUCUUGAGUAGCUGGGACAAUUUACGUGAGCCACCAUGCCCAGCUAAUUUUUGUAUUUUUUGUAGAGGCGGGGUUUCACCAUGUUGGCCAGGAUGGUCUUGAUCUCUUGACCUCGUGAUCUGCCUGCCUUGGCCUCUCAAAGUGCUGGGAUUAUAGGCAUGAGCCACUGCGCCCGGCCUCUUCUCUUUUUAGAUAAAAUAAUGAGAUGCUACGUCAUAGGAUCUGUCUCUGAGUCCACAUUGUGGGAGAAAAGACCAUUCUUCGGAAAGAUGCAGAGGAAGCCCCGUACCUCAAGGGAUUGAGAUGGGAGACUGAGGGAAUCCUGGGGUCUCUGCCCUCUCCCUCACUGGGAAACAAGCUCUGUUUCUUCAUGUGCUGGAGCCCUGCCUCUGUGGGUGCAGCCUGAGGACAAAGGCAGUGCUGCAUCCCCUGAUCCCCUGCCCCCUACAACCUCCUGCCCAGCCUCUUGGGUGCUCCUCAGCUUGUCGUCAGGGAGGAAGCAGCCAUCUCCUCCGAUGACUGACUUCAAGCCUCAACUCUCCCACAGCUUCUCAAAAGCCAAGGCUGAGGCCAAGUCCUAGCUGCUGCCUUGGGACAGGUCAAGGGCCUCCUGCAAUCUCAUGCACAAACUGGUACCCAUGAGCAUGUGGCCUAAGAGAUUUAUUGACCCCUCUCCAAGUCCUUGCCAGAGGAAUCCUGCACACCUAUAUCCACAAUGAAGGGAGCCAUAUCCCCAGCUGGGUAGCCAUAUCCCUAAUGAUAUCACUUAUGAAAGGUGACAAGUCC
rnacentral:lncRNA from 10 species